CCCGCAUGAUAUAUGGACCACUGGAGAUCUGAAUUCAAUGCGCAUUAUACAGUGGAUCAAGGAAGCAGUCGGGCCCUUCGGUUUCUGCACACUUCAUUGUUUUGUAGAUGUCGUUGUUAAAUGGAGAAAUCUGCUAUUUUGUACACAAGUUAUGUGGUGGGCGAUCGCACUUGUAGUGACUGGCACUAUAUAACCGAGAUGUGGACUGAUGGAUGAAGACUGGGUACCCUUUAAGGUGCACUGGGUAAAAGCAUGGGACAUGAAAGGCGCUAUACACACUAAAUCGGAAUACACUGAUAACAACAGGGUUAUCCUUAAUGUGCACUGGAUGAUAGCACUGCACUGAAAGGCGCUAUAUGCACUAAAUUGGGAUUGACUGGUGAACACUGGGCACUGAUGUAGUGUGAAAGGCGCUAUAUGCACUAAAUCUGAAUUGAGUGGUGAACACUGGGCACUGUAAUAGAAUUAAAGGCGCUAUAUGCACUAAAUCUGAAUUGAGUGGUGAACACUGGGCACUGUAAUAGAAUUAAAGACGCUAUAUAUGCACUAAAUCUGAAUUGAGUGGUGAACACUUGGCACUGUAAUAGAAUUAAAGACGCUAUAUGCACUAAAUCUGAAUUGAGUGGUGAACACUGGGCAAUAGAAUAGAAUUAAAGGCGCUAUAUGCACUAAAUCUGAAUUGAGUGGUGAACACUGGGCACUGUAAUAGAAUUAAAGACGCUAUAUGCACUAAAUCUGAAUUGAGUGGUGAACACUGGGCAAUAGAAUAGAAUUAAAGGCGCUAUAUGCACUAAAUCUGAAUUGAGUGGUGAACACUGGGCAAUAGAAUAGAAUUAAAGGCGCUAUAUGCACUAAAUCUGAAUUGAGUGGUGAACACUGGGCAAUAGAAUAGAAUUAAAGGCGCUAUAUGCACUAAAUCUGAAUUGAGUGGUGAACACUGGGCACUGUAAUAGAAUUAAAGGCGCUAUAUGCACUAAAUCUGAAUUGAGUGGUGAACACUGGGCACUGUAAUAGAAUUAAAGGCGCUGUAUGCACUAAAUCUGAAUUGAGUGGUGAACACUGGGCACUGUAAUAGAAUUAAAGACACUAUAUGCACUAAAUCUGAAUUGAGUGGUGAACACUGGGCACUGUAAUAGAAUUAAAGACACUAUAUGCACUAAAUCUGAAUUGAGUGGUGAACACUGGGCAAUAGAAUAGAAUUAAAGGUGCUAUAUAUGCACUAAAUCUCAAUUGAAUGGGGAACACUGGGCACUGCAAUAGAAUUAAUGGAGCUAUAUGCAGUAAAUCUGAAUUGACUGGGGAACACCGGGUACUCUUUAUGUGUGCGCUGGGUGAGAGGAUGUAGCGUGAAAGGCGCUAUAUGCACUAAAUCUAAAGUGACUGGUGAACACUGGGCACAGUAGUAGCAUGAAAGGCGCUAUAUUCACUGGGUGAUAAUACUUGCAGUGAAGUGCACAAAGUGUGAGUUGACGGGUGGGCACCGAGUACUGUUGUGAAAGGCAC